CCUACGGGUGGCAGCAGUGAGGAAUAUUGGUCAAUGGGCGGAAGCCUGAACCAGCCAAGCCGCGUGCGGGAUGAAGGCCCCACGCGUCGUAAACCGCUUUUGCCCGGGGACAACACCCUCCACUUGUGGAGGUCUGCAGGUACCGUGCGAAUAAGCGCCGGCUAAUUCCGUGCCAGCAGCCGCGGUAAUACGGAAGGCCCGAGCGUUAUCCGGAUUCAUUGGGUUUAAAGGGAGCGUAGGCGGGCGUUCAAGUCAGCGGUAAAAUCGCGCGGCUCAACCGCGCCCCGCAGUUGAAACUGGACGACGUGAGUUCGCAACAGGCAGGCGGAAUGCGUGGUGUAGCGGUGAAAUGCAUAGAUAUCGCGAGGAACCCCGAUUGCGAAGGCAGCCUACCGGGGUGCGACUGACGCUGAGGCUCGAAGGUGCGGGUAUCAAACAGGAUUAGAUACCCCAGUAGUC
rnacentral:rRNA from 1 species